rnacentral:tRNA from 1 species
CAGCCGCUAGGCCCAUCCCGCGCGUAGCGCUUGCUUCACACGCAAGAGGUCGCUGGUUCGAAACCAGCGCCGCCCACCA